rnacentral:rRNA from 1 species
UGGAUGCGCAGCUGAGCAGCAACGCCGCGUGAGUGAUGAAGGCCUUCGGGUCGUAAAGCCCUGUCAGGUGGGAAGAACGGCCAAGGGGUUAAUACCCUUUUGGAGUGACGGUACCACCAGAGGAACCCCCGGACUAACAUCCGUGCCAACAUCCUCCAGUAAUAA